rnacentral:ribozyme from 1 species
AACCGAGAAAGAAAGAAAGAAAGAAAGAAAAGAAAAGAAAAGAAAGAAGCAAUCUCUCGCAUGCAUGCAUGCAUGAAUUU